GCCCGGAUGGUCUAGUGGUAUGAUUCUCGCUUGUGAUGCGAGAGGUCCCGCGUUCGAAUCGCGGUUCGGGCC
rnacentral:tRNA from 3 species